GUACACGAGCGGCGAACGGGUGAGUAACACGUGAGCAACCUGCCCCUGACUCCGGGAUAAGCGGUGGAAACGCCGUCUAAUACCGGAUACGACCCUCCGCCUCAUGGCGGCGGGUGGAAAGUUUUUUCGGUCGGGGAUGGGCUCGCGGCCUAUCAGCUUGUUGGUGGGGUAACGGCCUACCAAGGCGAUUACGGGUAGCCGGCCUGAGAGGGCGACCGGCCACACUGGGACUGAGACACGGCCCAGACUCCUGCGGGAGGCAGCAGUGGGGAAUCUUGCGCAAUGGGCGGAAGCCUGACGCAGCGACGCCGCGUGGGGGAUGACGGCCUUCGGGUUGUAAACCUCUUUUACCACUCACGCAGGCCCCGGGUUUUCUCGGGGUUGACGGUAGGUGGGGAAUAAGGACCGGCUAACUACGUGCCAGCAG
rnacentral:rRNA from 1 species